rnacentral:rRNA from 1 species
GUUAAAAAGCUCGUAGUUGGAUUUCUGCAGGAGUGCCAAUGUCCGACCACGUUCGUGUGCAGCGGCGCCCCUGCAUCCUUCGGUUACCUCCGCUCGGCAUUCACUUGCCGGCGGUUGGCUCCGAAUAUUUACCUUGAGAAAAUUAGAGUGUUUCAGGCAGGCUUGUCCGGAAUACAUUAGCAUGGAAUAAUAGAAUAGGACUACGGUCUCGUUGUUGGUUUGAGGGACUGGAGUAAUGAUUAAUAGGGAUAGUUGGGGGCAUUAGUAUUUAAUUGUCAGAGGUGAAAUUCUCAGAUUAACUAAAGACUAACUUAUGCGAAAGCAUUUGCCAAGGAUGUUUUCAUUAAUCAAGAACGAAAGUUAGGGGAUCAAAGACGAUCAGAUACCGUCCUAGUCUUAACCAUAAACUAUGCCAACUCGGGAUCGGGGGCGUGUAAUUAUCCGCCUUCGGCACCGUAUGAGAAAUCAAAGUCUUUGGGUUCUGGGGGGAAUAUGGUCGCAAGGUUGAAACUUAAAGGAAUUGACCGAAGGGCACCACCAGGCGUGGA